GACGAACGCUGGCGGCGUGCUUAACACAUGCAAGUCGAACGGAAAGGCCCUGCUUUUGUGGGGUGCUCGAGUGGCGAACGGGUGAGUAACACGUGAGUAACCUGCCCUUGACUGUGGGAUAACUUCAGGAAACUGGGGCUAAUACCGGAUAGGAGCUCCUGCUGCAUGGUGGUGGUUGGAAAGUUUCGGCGGUUGGGGAUGGACUCGCGGCUUAUCAGCUUGUUGGUGGGGGAGUGGCUUACCAAGGCUUUGACGGGUAGCCGGCCUGAGAGGGUGACCGGCCACAUUGCGACUGAGAUACGGCCCAGACUCCUACGGGAGACAGCAGUGGGGAAUAUUGCACAAUGGGCCGAAGCCUGAUGCAGCAACGCCGCGUUCGGGAUGACGGCCUUCUGGUUGUAAACCGCUUUCGCCUGUUACGAAGCGUGAGUGACGGUAAUGGGUAAAUAAGCACCGGCUAACUACGUG
rnacentral:rRNA from 1 species